rnacentral:rRNA from 1 species
CCUACGGGUGGCAGCAGUAGGGAAUUUUCCACAAUGGGCGCAAGCCUGAUGGAGCAACACCGCGUGAGUGAAGAAGGGUUUCGGCUCGUAAAGCUCUGUUGUUGGAGAAGAACGUACGUGAGAGUAACUGUUCACGCAGUGACGGUAUCCAACCAGAAAGUCACGGCUAACUACGUGCCAGCAGCCGCGGGAAUCCGUAGGUGUCACGCUUUAUCCGGACUUAUUGGGCGUAAGUCGAGCGCAGGCGGUCGCUUAGGUCUGAUGUGAAAGCCUUCGGCUUAACCGAAGAAGUGCAUCGGAAACCGGGCGACUUGAGUGCAGAAGAGGACAGUGGAACUCCAUGUGUAGCGGUGGAAUGCGUAGAUAUAUGGAAGAACACCAGUGGCGAAGGCGGCUGUCUGGUCUGCAACUGACGCUGAGGCUCGAAAGCAUGGGUAGCGAACAGGAUUAGAUACCCGUGUAGUC